rnacentral:rRNA from 1 species
AUGGCCGCCGCCGCCGUCGCCGCCGACUCCAAGAUCGACAACCUCCGCGACGCCGUCGCCAAGCUCGGCGAGAUCAGCGAGAACGAGAAGGCCGGCUUCAUCAGCCUCGUCUCGCGCUACCUCAGCGGCGAGGCGGAGCAGAUCGAGUGGAGCAAGAUCCAGACCCCCACCGAUGAGGUGGUGGUGCCCUACGACACCCUCGCGCCCCCUCCCGAAGAUCUCGACGCCAUGAAGGCUCUGCUCGACAAGCUCGUGGUGCUCAAGCUCAACGGAGGCCUCGGCACCACCAUGGGCUGCACCGGCCCCAAGUCCGUCAUUGAAGUUCGCAAUGGGUUUACAUUUCUUGACCUUAUUGUGAUUCAGAUUGAGUCCCUGAACAAGAAGUAUGGAUGCAGUGUUCCUUUGCUUCUAAUGAACUCUUUCAACACUCAUGACGACACACAGAAGAUUGUUGAGAAGUACUCCAACUCCAACAUUGAAAUUCACACUUUCAACCAGAGCCAAUACCCUCGCAUUGUUACUGAAGACUUCUUGCCACUUCCAAGCAAAGGGCAGACAGGGAAGGAUGGCUGGUACCCCCCAGGCCACGGUGAUGUGUUCCCCUCUUUGAACAACAGUGGAAAACUCGAUACCUUACUGUCACAGGGAAAGGAGUAUGUCUUCGUGGCGAACUCAGACAACUUGGGUGCUAUAGUUGACAUCAAGAUACUAAACCACCUGAUCACUAACCAGAAUGAGUACUGCAUGGAAGUUACUCCAAAAACAUUGGCUGAUGUCAAAGGUGGUACCCUCAUCUCAUACGAAGGAAGAGUCCAGCUCUUGGAGAUUGCCCAAGUCCCUGAUGAGCAUGUGAAUGAAUUCAAGUCGAUUGAGAAGUUCAAGAUAUUUAACACCAAUAACCUGUGGGUGAACUUGAAGGCGAUCAAGAGGCUUGUAGAUGCUGAAGCACUUAAGAUGGAAAUCAUUCCCAACCCUAAGGAAGUUGAUGGCGUGAAAGUCCUGCAGCUAGAAACCGCAGCUGGAGCAGCGAUCAGGUUCUUUGAGAAAGCAAUCGGCAUCAACGUUCCCCGCUCAAGGUUUCUGCCCGUGAAGGCUACAUCUGAUUUGUUGCUUGUGCAGUCUGAUCUCUAUACCUUGGUUGAUGGCUACGUCAUCCGCAACCCAGCCAGAGUGAAGCCAUCGAACCCUUCAAUUGAGCUUGGUCCUGAGUUCAAAAAGGUUGCCAACUUCCUUGCCCGUUUCAAGUCGAUCCCCAGCAUCGUUGAGCUCGACAGCUUGAAGGUCUCUGGUGAUGUCUCGUUUGGCUCUGGAGUCGUACUCAAGGGCAACGUGACCAUCGCUGCCAAGGCUGGAGUCAAGUUGGAGAUCCCAGACGGAGCUGUGCUCGAGAACAAGGACAUCAACGGCCCUGAGGAUCUUUGA